rnacentral:rRNA from 1 species
UACGGGGGGGGCAAGCGUUGUUCGGAAUUACUGGGCGUAAAGGGCGCGUAGGCGGCCUUCUAAGUCGAACGUGAAAUCCCCGGGCUCAACCCGGGAACUGCGUCCGAUACUGGAAGGCUUGAAUCCGGGAGAGGGAUGCGGAAUUCCAGGUGUAGCGGUGAAAUGCGUAGAUAUCUGGAGGAACUCCGGUGGCGAAAGCGGCGUGCUGGACCUUUCUGACGCUGAGGCGCGAAAGCUAGGGGAGCAAACGGG